AUUGAACGCUAGCGGGAUGCUUUACACAUGCAAGUCGAACGGCAGCGCGGACUUCGGUCUGGCGGCGAGUGGCGAACGGGUGAGUAAUGUAUCGGAACGUGCCCAGUAGCGGGGGAUAACUACGCGAAAGCGUAGCUAAUACCGCAUACGCCCUACGGGGGAAAGCAGGGGAUCGUAAGACCUUGCACUAUUGGAGCGGCCGAUAUCGGAUUAGCUAGUUGGUGAGGUAACGGCUCACCAAGGCGACGAUCCGUAGCUGGUUUGAGAGGACGACCAGCCACACUGGGACUGAGACACGGCCCAGACUCCUACGGGAGGCAGCAGUGGGGAAUUUUGGACAAUGGGGGCAACCCUGAUCCAGCCAUCCCGCGUGUGCGAUGAAGGCCUUCGGGUUGUAAAGCACUUUUGGCAGGAAAGAAACGUCGCGGGCUAAUACCCCGUGGAACUGACGGUACCUGCAGAAUAAGCACCGGCUAACUACGC
rnacentral:rRNA from 1 species